rnacentral:rRNA from 1 species
UACGGGGGGGGCAAGCGUUGUUCGGAAUUACUGGGCGUAAAGGGCUCGUAGGCGGCCAACUAAGUCGGACGUGAAAUCCCUCGGCUUAACCGGGGAACGGCGUCCGAUACUGGAUGGCUUGAGUUUGGGAGAGGGAUGCGGAAUUCCAGGUGUAGCGGUGAAAUGCGUAGAUAUCUGGAGGAACACCGGUGGCGAAGGCGGCGUCCUGGACCAAUACUGACACUGAGGAGCGAAAGCCAGGGGAGCAAACGGG